rnacentral:snRNA from 1 species
GUGCUCGCUUCAGCAGCACGUAUACUAAAAUUGGAACGAUACAGAGAAGAUUAGCAUGGCCCCUGUGCAAGGAUGACACACAAAUUCGUGAAGCGUUCCAUAUUUUA